rnacentral:rRNA from 1 species
UGCUGGAGGUAUCAGAAGUGCGAAUGCUGACAUAAGUAACGAUAAAGCGGGUGAAAAGCCCGCUCGCCGGAAGACCAAGGUUCCUGUCCAACGUUAAUCGGGGCAGGUGAGUCGACCCCUAAGGCGAGGCCGAAAGGCGUAGUCGAUGGGAAACAGGUUAAUAUUCCUGUACUUGGUGUUACUGCGAAGGGGGGACGGAGAAGGCUAUGUUAGCCGGGCGACGGUUGUCCCGGUUUAAGCAUGUAGGCUGGUUAUCCAGGCAA